UACGUAGGGUGCAAGCGUUGUCCGGAAUUAUUGGGCGUAAAGAGCUUGUAGGCGGUUUGUCGCGUCUGCUGUGAAAUUUCGGGGCUCAACCCCGAACUUGCAGUGGGUACGGGCAGACUAGAGUGUGGUAGGGGAGACUGGAAUUCCUGGUGUAGCGGUGGAAUGCGCAGAUAUCAGGAGGAACACCGGUGGCGAAGGCGGGUCUCUGGGCCGAUACUGACGCUGAGGAGCGAAAGCGUGGGGAGCGAACAGG
rnacentral:rRNA from 1 species